UGGGGAAUAUUGGACAAUGGGCGAAAGCCUGAUCCAGCCAUGCCGCGUGAGUGACGAAGGCCUUAGGGUUGUAAAACUCUUUCGUCGGGGACGAUAAUGACGGUACCCGAAGAAGAAGCUCCGACUAACUUCGUGCCAGCAGCCGCGGUAAUACGAAGGGAGCUAGCGUUGUUCGGAAUCACUGGGCGUAAAGCGCACGUAGGCGGAUAGUUAAGUCAGGGGUGAAAUCCUGGGGCUCAACCCCAGAACUGCCUUUGAUACUGGCUGUCUCGAGGUCGAGAGAGGUUGGUGGAAUUCCUAGUGUAGAGGUGAAAUUCGUAGAUAUUAGGAAGAACACCAGUGGCGAAGGCGGCCAACUGGCUCGAUACUGACGCUGAGGUGCGAAAGCGUGGGGAGCAAACAGGAUUAGAUACCCCCGUAGUCCCUGAGCGGGCUGGCAAGGCGCAU
rnacentral:rRNA from 1 species